rnacentral:rRNA from 1 species
GACAGAGGGUGCAAACGUUGCUCGGAAUCACUGGGCGUAAAGGGCGUGUAGGCGGGAAGGAAAGUCAGAUGUGAAAUCCCUGGGCUCAACCCAGGAACUGCAUUUGAAACUCCCUUUCUUGAGUGUCGGAGAGGAAAGUGGAAUUCCUGGUGUAGAGGUGAAAUUCGUAGAUAUCAGGAGGAACACCGGUGGCGAAGGCGGCUUCUGGGACGAC